rnacentral:rRNA from 1 species
UAACCUGCCCAAUAGAUCGGGAUAACACCUGGAAACAGAUGCUAAUACCGGAUAACAACAGAUGAUGCCUAUCAACUGUUUAAAAGAUGGUUCUGCUAUCACUCUUGGAUGGACCUGCGGUGCAUUAGCUAGUUGGUAGGGUAACGGCCUACCAAGGCGAUGAUGCAUAGCCGAGUUGAGAGACUGAUCGGCCACAUUGGGACUGAGACACGGCCCAAACUCCUACGGGAGGCAGCAGUU